AUUGUUCGAGGGCCAUUUUGAAAUGAACCUGAGUAGACCACACGGUCGCACACACACGGACAUGUGCUAGGCCGUGUGGCCAAGUCAGUUUCGAGCACAAGCUAGACACACAAGCGUGUGACUGGCCGUGUGACCAAGUUAGUAACCUCCCUAAUUUUCACACAGCCAGGCACACAGGUGUGUCUCAUGGUCGUGUGGACAAGUUAAUAUGUAUGCCCUGUUUUGACACGGCCUAGACACACGGGCG
rnacentral:lncRNA from 1 species